UUUCGCCCCCGAACCAAACGCUACCCUAGCUCAUUCGUGGGCCACCAAAGUUCAGUGGGCCGUGCUACCUCGCAGCCCCGAGCCCGGUCGAAGCUUCUGGCGACGUUGUCCGGAUCUACUCCCCCACCCUCGACCCUCCCGUCGUUGGCCUCGUGGUUGCGGCGGCGAUGAGGGGCUCCACAGCUGCUCUCAUGGCGGCGGCGCUGCUGAUGCUGCUGGUGUCGCCGGCGCUGCUGAUGCUGCUGGUGUCGCCGGCUGCCCCGGACACGUACGAGCAGGAGGCCCGCCGGAUGUUCGUGGAGUGGAAGGCCAAGAACAAGAUGACCUAUAAAUACGCCGGCGAAGAGGAGUGCCGGUACGCGGUGUUCAGGAGCACCCGCUGCCGCGUCGCCCGGGCCAACGCCGCCGGGAGGACCCCAUCCGGCCUCAACGGUCUCAGCGGCUACGUCAGUGAGGAGGUCUUACGUGGGCACGGGGUCCGGACGGGGGAGAAAUCGUACGAGGAGGAGACCCGCCGGAUGUUCGUGGGGUGGAAGGCCAAGUACGGGAAGACCUACAGAGACGCCGGCGAGGAGCUGUGCCGUUACAUGUUGUUCAAGGCCAAUCGCCGCUUCGUCGUUAAGCUCAACGCCGCAGCCGCCGGGGAAACAGCAUACGGCCUCAACCAAUUCGGCGACCUCGCCGACGAGGAGGUCCGUGGAUGCUACGACGGGCGCGGCGAGGAGAUGGGGGGAAAGCUCAGCGCCAGGUGCCAUGAGAGGCUGAUUCAGUCCCAGGAGGGAAAGCUCAGCGCCAGGUGCCAGGCCGCCGUCGCAGGGGACACCAUCUAUGAGAGGCUGAUUCAGUCCCAGUAGUUUCGGUAUCCAUAUGAACACAAGUAGGCAAUGUCUUCUGCCUGCAUUGCUGCCGGCAUGCCUGUGCGAGGUCGAGAGAGUUCGCGUGAUUUCGGGUCUACACGAAUCGGGCGGUGAUCAGCAUUCAGAACCUGAAUCGUCAAGCACCGGAUCGCUAAUUACGAGAUUGAUGGAUCGGAUGGCUUGUGUUAACGGGUUGAUGUGGAUAUGCUCUAAGAGCCUGGAAUGCACGGCUUUAAAGUGGAGAGAUUUUUAUAUAUUGGUUUGCCGGUGCGUUGCUUUGGAACUGAAACAAACAGAGUCUGGAGGUAGCGUCAUUCCUGGAGAUGAAGCACACAUGUGGAUCUGAACGUCACUCCCAUUUGUUGCCAGACAGCCAGAGAAUUUUAGAAUAAAGAUGUUGCUAAUGUAAUAUGGUAACUUUGAGAUGAAAAUGUAUGCAUUCCCAACCUAUGAUAAAGAUCGUUCUGAUGUGUGUUUUCGGUUGUCCGCUAUGUCAAACUGGCGGGCCUAGUAGGCCAGCCGUUCCAUCUAUGUCGACGUGGUGACUCUUGGGAAGACCUCUCCUGCAGUUGUUAAAAAAAAUCAUGGGCCAAUUUGAAAGAAUUGCUGUCUAAUUUAAUUUGCAACUCAUAGUAAUAUAUUCUUAUUUGAUUGUUGGUGUGGUUAAA